rnacentral:lncRNA from 1 species
GGCUAGGGAUGGGUGCUGAAGUAUCAGGCUCUGGCUCUAGCUUUAGCUCUGGCACUGGAACUGCGUCGGAGUCUGGGUCUGAGUCUGGCAGCCCGAAGCCUGGACACCUUUUCUUGAUUCUCUAGGCGGGGGCUGCCUGCGUCCAAGCAGCUGGUUUGCAGCGUUCCAACGCUGGGAGGGAGUUCCCUUACCUGGGGUCCAGUCUGUAAAGUUGUCGCCGCUUUCUAGGGACCCCGCCCCACCGGCUGGGACUCUUCCAUGCAGUUGAAACUGGUUGACAACCAUUAACCUGGGUUGCAACUACAGGUGGCACUGGAAGCAGACUGGUUCCUGGACAUGCCCGGUGGAAGGAGGGGCCCUAGUCGGCAACAGCUAAGCCGUUCAGCUUUACCUUCUUUGCAGACUUUGGUUGGUGGAGGCUGUGGCAAUGGAACAGGCUUGAGAAACAGAAGAAGGGAGAAGUGAAUGAAAAUACAAGGAAUGGUAGUGCUAUUGGCCUUCCAGUCCCACCUAUCACAGCCUUAAUCACCCCAGGUCCUGUUCGUCAUUGCCAAAUUCCUGACUUGCCUGUGGAUGGGAGCCUACUCUUUGAAUUCCUUUUUUUCAUCUACCUGUUGGUUGCUCUUUUCAUUCAGUACAUCAACAUUUAUAAAACAGUGUGGUGGUAUCCUUACAAUCAUCCUGCUUCUUGUACAUCACUGAAUUUUCAUCUCAUUGAUUAUCAUCUGGCAGCAUUCAUCACAGUGAUGCUUGCGAGGAGGCUUGUAUGGGCUCUCAUCUCAGAGGCUACUAAGGCAGGUGCAGCAUCAAUGAUUCACUACAUGGUUCUGAUAUCAGCUCGCUUGGUACUACUCACUUUGUGUGGAUGGGUACUUUGUUGGACCCUCGUCAAUCUCUUUCGAAGCCAUUCAGUCCUCAAUCUCCUUUUCCUUGGCUACC